rnacentral:rRNA from 1 species
UACGUAGGGUGCAAGCGUUAAUCGGAAUUACUGGGCGUAAAGCGUGCGCAGGCGGUUAUGUAAGACAGGUGUGAAAUCCCCGGGCUCAACCCGGGAACUGCGUCCGAUACUGGCAGGCUUGAAUCCGGGAGAGGGAUGCGGAAUUCCAGGUGUAGCGGUGAAAUGCGUAGAUAUCUGGAGGAACACCGGUGGCGAAGGCGGCAUCCUGGACCGGCAUUGACGCUGAGGCGCGAAAGCCAGGGGAGCAAACGGG